UAUUUCAAGGGAAAAGCUAGAAUUAUACGAGGUUCAAACCCAAUUCAUCAAAUACUCAAUCCCAAACCAUUCCAAAAUAUCUUUGUCAUAAUUUACAAUCUUGGAGGCUAGGGUUCUUGACCAAACACCCUUGACAUUGAAGAUUGGAAGCUUUGUAUUGUUAAUUUCUCAAACCUUUCUUAUUUUGCUUGCUUUGUUUAGACUAUUUGAAUAUAGUUGAACUUUG
rnacentral:lncRNA from 1 species